AAGUCGAACGAAGCUAUGAGACGGAAGCCUUCGGGUGGAAGACUGAUAGACUGAGUGGCGGACGGGUGAGUAACGCGUGGGCAACCUGCCCCAUACCGGGGGAUAGCAGUUGGAAACGGCUGGUAAAACCGCAUAAGCGCACGGUAAGGCAUCUUACAGUGUGAAAAACUCCGGUGGUAUGGGAUGGGCCCGCGUCUGAUUAGCCAGUUGGUGAGGUAACGGCUCACCAAAGCGACGAUCAGUAGCCGGCCUGAGAGGGCGGACGGCCACAUUGGGACUGAGACACGGCCCAGACUCCUACGGGAGGCAGCAGUGGGGGAUAUUGCACAAUGGAGGAAACUCUGAUGCAGCGACGCCGCGUGAGUGAAGAAGUAUUUCGGUAUGUAAAGCUCUAUCAGCAGGGAAGAAAGGCUCGCAAGAGAGAUGACGGUACCUGAGUAAGAAGCUCCGGCUAAAUACGUGCCAGCAGCCGCGGUAAUACGUAUGGAGCAAGCGUUAUCCGGAUUUACUGGGUGUAAAGGGAGCGCAGACGGAUAUGCAAGUCUGAAGUGAAACCCCACGGCUCAACCGUGGGCUUGCUUUGGAAACUGUAGAUCUAGAGUACUGGAGAGGUAAGCGGAAUUCCUGGUGUAGCGGUGAAAUGCGUAGAUAUCAGGAAGAACAUCGGCGGCGAAGGCGGCUUACUGGACAGCAACUGACGUUGAGGCUCGAAGGCGUGGGGAGCAAACAGGAUUAGAUACCCUGGUAGUCCACGCGGUAAACGAUGAAUACUAGGUGUUGGGAGACAAAGUUUU
rnacentral:rRNA from 1 species